GAGGUCAUGUGGUCAGUGGCCCCUGAGUCUAUAAUCCAAAUGCAUCAUCUAAUUUAGUUGACAUGCAAGCACCAUAAGAUACAUCUUUCAGACAACUAGGUGGAGAGAAAGUACCAGCAAAGUUGGCAGAUGCCAUGAGGCUGGACUAGGGUUGUGAUUUUGAAAUAUGUAUCUAUUGAAGCAACAUCGUAAGUUGUGAAUAUUGAUCCUUGGUUAACCCAGGGAUCAAGGACUCUGACUCAGAAGAACCUUCGGUUGGAGAGUGAGAAUUCCCAAUAGUAUUCUGAAAAUCAAUAGAAUUUGAAUAAACAUGCGCCUCAACAUUGCAGCAAUCCUUUUACCCUUAGUAAAUUUGAAGCCUGGUGGGAACCUAUGGAGCUUAUAACAUUUGUCAACCAAAUGUCCAGGAUACUUGCGAUACCUACACAUCAUAUUUGACUUGUUGUGAUAAAAAAUGACUCUUUGAGUUAACUGUUUAGAAGGAGCAGAUGUCCCUAAAA
rnacentral:lncRNA from 1 species